GAACCCGAUAAUCAUUAUUCAUUUUCGAAUCAACUGCCUGCCUGUGACUGCAGCCACACAGCCUACCUACCUAUCUUAACAUUAACGCUCCGUCAACUCCUUGUAUGAAACAUUUAGAAUGUGCACCUGCAAAGUAAUGAGCCAUCGACUCAAGAGGUCUGCUUGAUGGAUCGGGCAGAACAGGAAGAUGAGUGAAACCCUGCCUGUUGGGAAACACAUGGGCUGUUGGAGGAGAGGUCUGGAGGGGAUGGAGAGACAGGCUGCAGCAGCAGGUAGUAAUAAUGCAAGCCUUCUUGAAGCAGAGCAAACCUGGACCUGGUUUUCUUCUUCUCCAGAAGAGAGAGGGUGUAGGAUAACACUGUCUGUCCUGGUUGAAUGUACCUGAGCGGGGCUAACACCUGUCUAUUGGUUGAUAUAGGGAUGAAUUUCAGUGGCAACCCAAAAGGCAAUAUAUAGCUCUAGGAGAUCUGUGAAGAAAUAUUUGUAUUUUUGUUUUGUACUGUCCAUGGAUAUUCUUCCCCCGAGCAUCACGUCCACUGAUCACAUUGAAAGAGAGUAUAAAGAGACUAACAAGAGACAUUCAAAUCGCAAGACCUUCACGUGAUUGAAUGUGCGAUUGAGGCCUACAUCCGAUGGGCAUGAAGUCCUGUAUAAAAAAUUUUGCGGACGAAAAGAGCAAUCCGACAUGACACAAGAAGGACGUGUACUACAUUAGACUAGACUAGGACUGCCAGUCUGUGUCCAGUUUGUCCGUUUGUCCAGGCGAGUUGGGAAUGCAGAUUUAUGAGCGCGUGCGCCCGUGCAGAUGUGGACCGGACAGCAAGUGGUUCGGCUUGUCCCCCUGGUGUGAGUCCACCCUCCCCCCCCUCCCCCCAUCCACCCAUCAUGCGGCAGGCAGCAUCCCUGCUGGGCCGGGCUUGUUUAUCUCUUCCGAAAGCGGCCAUGAUUAAUGAGGCCCUGAACACAUCCUCUUUCCCCUGGCUGGACCUGUGGAGCCAUACAGCUGAGUAAACAGCCCCCUCUCUGUCCCCCUCUACUCCCCCUGAUCGGCAUUAUUCCACCCUGCCUGCCCAGGACCUGCCCCGGCAUGGCAGGCCCAGCCUAGGGAGGUACAGCUACAGGUAGCCAGCCAACAGAGACAACAUGCAUACACAUACAAAAGUAAGCACAUGUAAGAGCAUGCGCAUACACUCAUGCAUGUAGCCACACACGCAUACUGAUUUUGAAAAAUAUUUGUAUAGUACUAAACAACAGCCAACGACUCAUUCAACGGCUACACUGCCAUACCUACCAUAGCCUUCCCAUUGUGUGCUGGAAAGGGAACAUAGCCCAGGAGGACUAAAGCCAGUGCUAUAAUCGGCUGCAGUCUAGAAUCAAUGCAGGACAUGUUCAUAAGAAGGCUACAAGCCUAAGACACACCCGAUCAUGGACAAUGACACACACCCACUCCACAGAGCUGCACGAGAGCAGCUUCAGUAGCAGGUUAAUCCUGCUCAGAAGUUCCACCGAGAGGUUUAGACGGUCGCUCCUAUUCACAGGCAUGAGGCUUUUUAAUGAGUGUAAUGAUGAACUGAUUUUAUGAUGUCUUCUCAUUAUGAGUGUUGUUGUUGCUUGUUUCCCCAGAUUAGGAUAGACAAUAGCAUUUCUUACCUCUUAAGGAUUAGCCCCUUUUUUAAAUUUUUGGCCUAAAAUGACAUACCCAAAUCUAACUGCUUGUAGCUCAGGUCCUGAAGCAAGGAUAUGCAUGUUCUUGGUACCAUUGGAAAGGAACCACUUUUGACGUUUAUGGAAAUGUGAAAGGAGUGUAGUAGAAUAUAACACAAAAAUCUGGUAAACGAUAACACAAAGAAAAAAACAACCGUUCUUUUUGUAUUUUUUUGUACCAUAAUCUUUGAAAUGCAAGAUAAAGGCCAUAAUGUAUUAUUUCAGCCCAUGUGCAAUUUAGAUUUUGGCCACUAGAUGGCAGCAGUGUAUGUGCAAAGUUUUAGACUGAUCCAAUGAAGCAUUGCAUUUCUGUUCAAAAUUCUGUAUCAAGACUGCCCAAAUGUGCCUAAUUUGUUUAUUAAAAGCUUUUCAUGUUCAAAA